CCUACGGGUGGAUGCAGUGAGGAAUAUUGGUCAAUGGUCGGGAGACUGAACCAGCCAAGCUGCGUGAGGGAUGAAGGUACAGAGUAUCGUAAACCUCUUUUGUCAGGGAACAAAGGCGGGGACGUGUCCCCGGAUGAGAGUACCUGAAGAAAAAGCAUCGGCAAACUCCGUGCCUGCAGCCGGGGUAAUACGGAGGAUGCGAGCGUUAUCGGGAUUUAUUGGGUUUAAGGGGUGUGCAGGCGGUCUGUUAAGCCAGCGGUCAAAGCCCGGGGCUCAACCCCGGCCCGACGUUGAAACUGGCAGUCUCGAGUUGGAGAGAAGUAUGCGGAAUGCGCGGUGUAGCGGUGAAAUGCAUAGAUAUCGCGAAGAACUCCGAUUGCGAAGGCAGCAUGCCGGCUCCACACUGACGCUGAGGCACGAAAGCGUGGGUAGCGAACAGGAUUAGAUACCCGAGUAGUC
rnacentral:rRNA from 1 species